UAGGGAAUCUUCGGCAAUGGACGAAAGUCUGACCGAGCAACGCCGCGUGAGUGAAGAAGGUUUUCGGAUCGUAAAACUCUGUUGUUAGAGAAGAACAAGGACGUUAGUAACUGAACGUCCCCUGACGGUAUCUAACCAGAAAGCCACGGCUAACUACGUGCCAGCAGCCGCGGUAAUACGUAGGUGGCAAGCGUUGUCCGGAUUUAUUGGGCGUAAAGCGAGCGCAGGCGGUUUCUUAAGUCUGAUGUGAAAGCCCCCGGCUCAACCGGGGAGGGUCAUUGGAAACUGGGAGACUUGAGUGCAGAAGAGGAGAGUGGAAUUCCGUGUGUAGCGGUGAAAUGCGUAGAUAUAUUGAGGAACACCAGUGGCGAAGGCGGCUCUCUGGUCUGUAACUGACGCUGAGGCUCGAAAGCGUGGGGAGCAAACAGG
rnacentral:rRNA from 1 species